GCUCCCAUGGCGUAGUGGUCACUGCGCUCGCCUUGCACGCGGGAGACCCGGGUUCGAUUCCCGGCUGGGUCA
rnacentral:tRNA from 1 species